UACGAAUGGGGCAAGCGUUGUUCGGAAUCACUGGGCUUAAAGCGUACGCAGGCGGAUCUGAAAGUCAGAAGUGAAAUCCCAGGGCUCAACCUUGGAAUUGCUUUUGAAACUUCAGAUCUUGAAUUCGGUAGAGGUUAGGAGAAUUCCUAGUGUAGAGGUGAAAUUCGCAGAUAUUAGGAGGAAUACCAGUGGCGUAGGCGCCUAACUGGACCGAUAUUGACGCUCAGGUACGAAAGCGUGGGUAGCAAACAGGAUUAGAUACCCUGGUAGUCCACGCCUUAAACUAUGUAUGCUAGUUGUCGGGAUCUUUAGGUCUCGGUGACGCAGGGAAACCGCUAAGCAUACCGCCUGGGGAGUACGGUCGCAAGAUUAAA
rnacentral:rRNA from 1 species